AACGAACGCUGGCGGCAGGCUUAACACAUGCAAGUCGAGCGCCCCGCAAGGGGAGCGGCAGACGGGUGAGUAACGCGUGGGAAUCUACCCAUCUCUACGGAAUAACGCAUGGAAACGUGUGCUAAUACCGUAUACGUCCUUCGGGAGAAAGAUUUAUCGGAGAAGGAUGAGCCCGCGUUGGAUUAGCUAGUUGGUGGGGUAAAGGCCUACCAAGGCGACGAUCCAUAGCUGGUCUGAGAGGGUGAUCAGCCACACUGGGACUGAGACACGGCCCAGACUCCUACGGGAGGCAGCAGUGGGGAAUAUUGGACAAUGGGCGCAAGCCAGAUCCAGCCAUGCCGCGUGAGUGAUGAAGGCCCUAGGGUUGUAAAGCUCUUUCACUGGUGAAGAUAAUGACGGUAACCGGAGAAGAAGCCCCGGCUAACUUCGUGCCAGCCGCCGCGGUAAUAC
rnacentral:rRNA from 1 species